rnacentral:rRNA from 1 species
GGUUAAGCGACUAAGCGUACACGGUGGAUGCCCUGGCAGUCAGAGGCGAUGAAGGGCGUGCUAAUCUGCGAUAAGCGCCGGUAAGGUGAUAUGAACCGUUAUAACCGGCGAUACCCGAAUGGGGAAACCCAGUGUGAUUCGUCACACUAUCAUUAACUGAAUCCAUAGGUUAAUGAGGCGAACCGGGGGAACUGAAACAUCUAAGUACCCCGAGGAAAAGAAAUCAACCGAGAUUCCCCCAGUAGCGGCGAGCGAACGGGGAGGAGCCCAGAGCCUGAAUCAGCAUGUGUGUUAGUGGAAGCGUCUGGAAAGGCGCGCGAUACAGGGUGACAGCCCCGUACACAAAAGCGCAUGUGCUGUGAGCUCGAUGAGUAGGGCGGGACACGUGGUAUCCUGUCUGAAUAUGGGGGGACCAUCCUCCAAGGCUAAAUACUCCUGACUGACCGAUAGUGAACCAGUACCGUGAGGGAAAGGCGAAAAGAACCCCGGCGAGGGGAGUGAAAAAGAACCUGAAACCGUGUACGUACAAGCAGUGGGAGCACCCUUUGGGGUGUGACUGCGUACCUUUUGUAUAAUGGGUCAGCGACUUAUAUUCUGUAGCAAGGUUAACCGUAUAGGGGAGCCGGAGGGAAACCGAG